GCGUAGUGUGUGCCAGGAGGCGGGGUAAUACAGGGGGUGGGAGCGUUAAUCGGAAUUACUGGGCGUAAAGCGUACGUAGGCGGCUUGGUAAGUUGGAUGGGAAAUCCCCGGGGUUAACUUGGGAAUUGCAUUCAAGACUGCCUUGCUAGAGUGUGGGAGAGGGAAGCGGAAUUCCAGGUGUAGCGGUGAAAUGCGUAGAUAUCUGGAGGAACAUCAGUGGCGAAGGCGGCUUUCUGGCCCAACACUGACGCUGAGGUGCGAAAGCGUGGGGAGCAAACAGGAUUAGAUACCCCGGUAGUC
rnacentral:rRNA from 1 species